AUUCCCCUAGUAACUGCGAGUGAAGAGGGAAGAGCUCAAAUUUAAAAUCAGGCAGUCUUUUGCUGUCUGAGUUGUAAUCUAGAGAAGUGCUGCCCGUGCUGGACCAUGUACAAGUCUUCUGGAAUGGAGCGUCAUAGAGGGUGAGAAUCCCGUCUUUGACAUGGACUGCCAGUGCAUUUGUGGUGUGCUCUCAAAGAGUCGAGUUGUUUGGGAAUGCAGCUCUAAAUGGGUGGUAAACUCCAUCUAAAGCUAAAUAUUGGCAAGAGACCGAUAGCGAACAAGUACCGUGAGGGAAAGAUGAAAAGAACUUUGGAAAGAGAGUUAAACAGUAUGUGAAAUUGUUGAAAGGGAAACGCUUAAAGUCAGUUGUGUCGGCCAGGGAUCAACUCAGUUUUUUGCUGGGUGUACUUCCUGAUCUGAUGGGCCAACAUCAGUUUUGACUGCUGGAGAAGGAUAGAGGGAAUGUGGCACCUUUUUUGGGUGUGUUUAUAGCUUUCGGUCUAACAGUGGCUAGGACUGAGGAAAGCAGCAUGCCAUAAAGGCCAGGUUUCUGACCA
rnacentral:rRNA from 1 species